GAUGAAGAACGUAGCGAAAUGCGAUACUUGGUGUGGAUUGCAGAAUCCCGUGAACCAUCGAGUCUUUGAACGCAAGUUGCGCCUCAAGCCAUUAGGUUGAGGGCACGUCUGCCUGGGCGUCACAUAUCGUUGCCUGAUGCCAGUUUCCUCGUGAUGGGUGACUGUGCAGGGCGAAUGAUGGCUUCCCGUGAGCAUUGUUGCCUCAUGGUUGGUUGAAAAUUGAGUCCUUGGUAGGGAGCGCCGUGAUAGAUGGUGGUUGAGUGACGAACGAGACCCAAUCAUGUGAGACCCCUACCGAAUUUGGCCUUCAUGACCCACAUGCGUCUUUGGAACGCUCAUGACGAGACCUCAGGUCAGGCGGGGCUACCCGCUGAGUUUAAGCAUAUCAAUAAGCGGAGGA
rnacentral:misc_RNA from 1 species